GCGUCGGUGGUGCAACGGUUAGCAUACACGCCCGAAAAGAGUGAGAUAUGGGUUCGAAUCCCGGCUGACGCA